GUUUUGAGUCGAAGUCCAGCAAGAAUCCUCCUGCCCAUUGUCACUCACUCCAGUAAGAUAAGAUCGAGUCUGGUUCAGAAGCAAAGAAAAGUUCUAGUAUUGGCGAGGCAGGAGCUUGGUACCUGAGCACAGCCUCUCCACACAAGCCCUCCGCAGGGCUGCUCUGCGGCGCUCUUGUGGUGGCGGGAGCGGAGAGGGCCGUGGCCUUUGCCCUUGCUGCGCAGGCGCUUUGCUCUCUGCACUUCCGACGGAGGUGCCGGGCGCAGCCAUGUUGUAUUGAGGUGCGGGCAGCAACUCUUCAGCACACUGUUCGUGGACUUGGGGUGUUGGUGUGGCAGUUCUGUACCGGAAACUCUUAAGGCCUCUGCAUAUGGCUCCCUAGAGGCAAGGCUGAGUGAGGUAAUCCUGUCUGCUGAUGGCUGGGAUGACAUGAGCAACUAUGCAGGAACUGGGAAAAAACAGGCCACUGUGAACCAAAGUGUGACUGAGACACCAGAGAGAAAAGACUGGAAGUGAGGAUCCCUUGGGGCUUAUCUGCAUGAACCAACAUUAGGUCCAGGCUUACCUCCAAGGUGGGCACAUGGAGACAAGACCCAAAGAAAGAGAGAAAGGGCUCCCAGAAAUAAACUGCCCUGUGAGAUAUUGACCAGGUCUAACUUCUGGGUCCUUGCCAGCCAGACCCAAACAGCAUACUGAAGGCUUCAAAAAUGAACUGAUGUUGGAACCCGCAGAAGACAAGAUAGACUUUACAGUUUAAAACAAACCAGGCUGAUUGUCUGUUAAACAAAUUACUUUCUCCAGAGGAUUUUUUUCUUCCAGUUUCAUUGAAAUAUAAUUGACGUGGUGUGGUGAGUGUGCGCAUGUGCUCAAUUGUGUCCCACUCUUGGCAACUCCAUGGACUGUAGGCAGCCAGGCUCCUCUGUCCAUGGAAUUUUUCAGGCAAGAAUACCGGAGUGGGUUGCCAUUUCAUACUCCAGCAGAUCUUCCUGACCCAGGGACCCAACCUGUGUCUCUGGCAUCUCCUGGCAUUGGCAGGCAGAUGCUGUACCGCUGCUCCACCUGGGAAGCCCACCUGAUGGACAGCACGGUAUAGGUUGGCUUCCCAGAUGGCUCUAGUGGUAAAG
ensembl:lncRNA